rnacentral:rRNA from 1 species
AACGAACGCUGGCGGCAGGCUUAACACAUGCAAGUCGAGCGCCCCGCAAGGGGUGCGGCAGACGGGUGAGUAACGCGUGGGAAUCUACCCAUCUCUACGGAAUAACGCAUGGAAACGUGUGCUAAUACCGUAUACGUCCUUCGGGAGAAAGAUUUAUCGGAGAUGGAUGAGCACGCGUUGGAUUAGCUAGUUGGUGGGGUAAAGGCCUACCAAGGCGACGAUCCAUAGCUGGUCUGAGAGGAUGAUAAGCCACACUGGGACUGAGACACGGCCCAGGCCCCUACGUGCGGCAGCUGUGGGGAAUAUUGGACAAUGGGCGCAAGCCUGAUCCAGCCAUGCCGCGUGAGUGAUUAAGGCCCUAGGGUUGUAAAGCUCUUUCACCGGUGAAGAUAAUGACGGUAACCGGAGAAGAAGCCCCGGCUAACUUCGUGCCAGCCGCGGCCGUAAUAC